rnacentral:rRNA from 1 species
GACGAACGCUGGCGGCGUGCUUAACACAUGCAAGUCGAACGGAAAGGCCCUGCUUUUGUGGGGUGCUCGAGUGGCGAACGUGUGAGUAACACGUGAGUAACCUGCCCUUGACUUUGGGAUAACUUCAGUAAACUGGGGCUAAUACCGGAUAGGAGCUCCUGCUGCAUGGUGGGGGUUGGAAAGUUUCGGCGGUUGGGGAUGGACUGGCGGCUUAUCAGCUUGUUGGUGGGGUAGUGGCUUACCAAGGCUUUGACGGGUAGCCGGCCUGAGAGGGUGACCGGCCACAUUGGGAGUGAGAUAAGGCCCAGACUCCUACGGGAGGAAGCAGUGGGGAAUAAUGCACAAUGGGCGGAAGCCUGAUGCAGCAACGACGCGUGCGGGAUGACGGCCUUCGGGUUGUAAACCGCUUUCGCCUGUGACGAAGCGUGAGUGACGGUAAUGGGUAAAGAAGCACCGGCUAACUACGUG